rnacentral:rRNA from 1 species
AUGGCCUGCCGCCGCCCCACCCCGCCGUCGCCGUCGCCGGCGCCGGCGCCGGUGCCUCCGCUCGAGGACGACGACCUCCUCGAGGAGAUCCUCCUCCGCCUCCCCCCGCAGCCAUCCUCCCUCCUCCGCGCCUCCCUCGUCAGCAAGCGCUGGCGCGGCCUCGUCAAGCGCCGCCGCUUCCUCCGCCUCUUCCGCGCCCGCCACGGGAGCCUCCCCCUCCUCGUCGUCUUCCCCGGUGAGGUCGACAUGAGCCACCCCUUAUUCACGCCCUCCCUCGACCCGCCCGACAGGGUACCCGCCGCGCGCUUCCCCAUGCCGCUCGCCCCCCUCGCCUUCCCCCUCGUCCUCGACUGCCGCCACGGCCACGCCCUCCUCCUCAACCGGCGGGUCAGAUAG